CUCGUGGGUGCCCUUUGCACUGCGAGUGCUGAGACUUUAUUGAGAUCCUUCAGUGUUUUGAAACACGCUUUUGAACACUUGGAAUGGUCCCUGUUCUUUUAAGGGCAUGCUUCAAAUUGCCAAGUAAGAGUCUGCCUUUCAGGCCAUCUUUGACAGUCCCUGGUAGAAGGAGAAUUGCUGUCCAAGGGAAAGGUGCACAAGGGCCAAUAUUGACUGAGCGUUCCCUUGGCUUCCCAGAUGCCAUCUGACCAACAUCUCCAGGAGGGCUGCCCUGCGUGGCAGGAGGAGACAGAGGAGAGCCCGUGACCAUCGGGCAGGUAGAAUUCCUCUGCUUGUAAAUAUGUUUAUAGAUUCCUAUGAUUUUACUUAUCAAAGGGUAUAGUUCUGUUUACAGAUUAGUGUUCUGUUCAUAUGUGCAUAUAUUGAUAGAUCUGUAGAGUUAAAUGGGGAUAUGUAUUCAGUUAGACAAGUGAUAUAUUUUAUUAUAAAUUUACCUUUAUAGAUUUUCAGAGUUUAAAUUUUUUUGUGUAGAGUCCAAAAAAAAAAUAUAGAUGAAGUUUCAUUUAUAAAUGAGUAUAGUUAUAGAGUAAGAAGGAUAUGAAUGUUUAGAUGAAUAGGUUGCGGUUUGCCUAGGCCUAGGCUGCAUUUUUACCUCUUUCCCCCUUCACCUGCCUUUCUCACCUCUUGCUUUUCCCCCUGUGCCCCCUGUGUCCCCUCUCCCUGUGCUGGGUCCGAGGUGGCGGCCGGGCCGGCCAGAGCAGCACUUCCAGCCCCGGCUGUCCCUGGAGCGGUGGGAGCUGCCGCUGGCCCCAGGCACUGUCCCCUGAGGAGCUGCUGAAGGACGCUGCAUGGAAGACCUUGAGGACAGCCAGAGCCUGAUGGGAGCCAGCAGAGAGAAGCUGAAGGCCAGCAGCAGGAGCAGGGAAUGGGGACCUGCUGCUGCCACCCUGGAGAGAGCUUGGAUGUCCCAUCUGCUGUCCCUGUCCAGGAGAGCUGCUCUGCACGGGAGGAGAAGACCGAGGGAGAGGCUUUGAAGAUGGGGCAGCUGGGAUCCUUCUUCUUUUUGUGCUGUUUAAUUAUAUAUGGACUAGCAUGGAGUUACUGAUAAUUACAUGCAUAUUUUCAUAUGUAGCUUGCUAUUUGUAUUGGUAUAUUUCUGUAUGUAUCUUGUUAUUUUUAUGAAUGUACUCUCUAUGUACGUAUAGAUAUAUACAUACAGGUUUGCAGUUACGUAUUUAUGUAAAUACGUAUCUACUUUUUUAUGUAUGUUGUAAUAUCUGUGUUUAGUUAUUUUUCCAUAUGUGUACAGCUUUGUAGGUGUUUAUAUUUAUCAAUGUAGUUUUCAGUAUAUAUCUUUUAAAACUAGUGUAUUGGUAUUUGUAUUGGUACAGAUGCCUAUUUUUAUAUUUUUAAUUGUAUAUUGAUGUAUUUGUAUUUAAAUAUAUUUACAUAUGUUUCCAGAUGCAUAGCUGUAUAUUUGUAUGGAUACAGUUGGAUUGGUAUUUAGACUGGUACAGUAAUAUUUGUAUAUUUAAAAAUAGUUGUGGUUGAAGUAUUUAUAUAUAUAUUUUAUAUAAUCUAUAAUAUUUAAUCUAUAUUUACAUCGUUAGAUUGUUAUAGAUUUAUUUUUAUAUAUGUUCAUGUAUGUAUGUAUUAAAUUCUGUUUAUAGAUGUAUAGUUGCAUAACUAUUGAAUUCUUGUUGGGGUAUUUAGAGAGGGAAUGCAUAUUUUUGUAUUUCUAUAUGGGGUCUGCAUUUGUAGUAAUAUGUAAUAAAUUAAGUUGUUAAACGCCUAAUUGAUCUUUGUGUAUAGUGAGUUGCGUAUAGUGGAGGCUAGCAAUAAAUCAAGUUUGGUUAAGUGAACUUGGUUUUUGUAUAUUUUUACAUAGACAGGUUGUAAUAAUCUAAUAAAUUGCUGGUUUUACCCUAAAUUGAGAUCUGUUUAGUUCUGUAUUGUCAGCAUGGGUGUAGCAGUUUGUAAUAAAUGACAUUUUUCAACUGAAA